AGAUCUCCCACCCGUGUGUAUCAUUA
rnacentral:rRNA from 1 species